rnacentral:misc_RNA from 1 species
CUCAUACACGCACCCAAGUAGGACACCAUGCAGCCUUACCUCCGCAAGCUCCGUAAGCUGAAGCGCGGCAAGCCCAGCGACCUCGAGGAGAGCGUCGCGAAGGCGCUGUUCGAGCUCGAGACGUCGCACAAGACCCUACGUCAGGAGCUGCCGCGCUUCCACGUCAACACCGUGCGCGAGGUCAAGGUGCCGCGCUCGAAGAAGACGGUGCUGGUCGUCUUCUACCCCCUGCGCUUCCUGAUGCUGGUGCGCAAGGUCCAGCGUGCGCUCACCUCUGAGCUGGAGAAGCGCCACCCGGGCUACCUGGUGAUGCUGGUUGCGCAGCGCAAGAUCACGAAGCGCCCGACGGACGUGUACAAGCUGCAGAAGGUGCAGCGCUCGAAGACGAGCACGGCGGUGUUCGAGAAUAUUCUGAACGACAUGAUCUACCCGAGCGACGUGGUGGGCCGCCGCUGGCGCUGCCGCACGGACGGGAGCAAGCUGAUGAAGGUGUUCCUGGACGCCCGCGACCGCAAGCGCGUCGAGUCCCGCCUUCGCGCUGUGGCGUACGUGUACAAGCAGCUGACGCACCGCCGCGUGUCGUUCGGCUUCAUGUGGAACCCGAAGCUGCAGCAGGUGUCGACCCGGUAGGCGGUGGCAGAGGAAGCGAGCGUGUGCGUGUGCACGGGUGCGCGAUUUGUUUUGCCUUCCUUCUGCCCCGUUCUCUGGCUCGUCAACAUGCCGAUCACCUGCCGCCAGCCCGCGGCACCCUUCACUGCCGGCGGCUGCAUGAGCACGUGCUUUUUGUUUUCGGCGAGGAGUGCGAGCAGCGCAUCCGUCGUGUCUGCUCCGUCCCUCAUCGCCUUCGCGCCUUUCUCUCUUUCCGCCCUUUCGUGGUGCCACCUGCCCGCGUGCGCGUGCACGCAUACCCGUGACACGCCGGCGUGUCUGUGUGUGUGUGUGUGUGUGAGGCCUGGGGAGGGGCAGGGACGGAGACGACAGCGAGGGAGGCAGAGAGAAAGGCGUGUGGUGGGAUGAAGAUGAUGAUAAUGGGGGGAGGAGGAAGCAGACGGGUGCUGCACACCCCCACACGCACACGCACACACGCACGCUCGCAUCUUUUCGUUUUGUUUCUGUGACGUUUUACUUUCAUCAUUUUCACGCAACCACGCAACAACAGCAGCAGCCAUGCGGGGGAGGAGGCGACGACGAGCGCUGGGGAUGGCCAGAGUGCUCGGGUGCGCACGUGCCUGUGCGCCUCUGUGCCUCUUCGUCAGCGCGGUCGAGGAAGUGUCGCGGGGUGGAUGGACACCGUCUCUUCAGUGAGCAGCGAGAACACUAAAAAGUGGGGGGCAGGGGUGAACCAAGCGAAGCGUGUGCGUGUGUGUAGCUGACGAAUCCGGCGGAGGGUCACGGCGCGCCGCUUUUCUACUCGACCACCCUCCGUCUGCAGCUGCCACCAAUAUACACACGGACGGUCGCCCUCGCUGCUGUUCUGACGCGAGGAUGCUUCUCCACGAGGACAUGUUGGCGUUAUCAUCAGCGCCUCUCUCGCGCUCCGCCCACUAUCGUCUCCCUACUCUCUCUCUCCAUGGAUUCUCUGGUGACCGUCCACGCACAUAAUCGCACGUGCACGCGCCUGCCUAUGCGCACAUACAAACACACACGCAUCGGCCCACACGCCACCAUGUGGGUGCUAUCGCCGACGCACUUCUCCCUCCCCCCUCUCUCUCCCUCUAACGCUGCUCACCGACGCCAUGUGCGCCGCCUCGAUCGCCCAUGUCGACCACAACGAAAAACAAAG